AGAGUUUGAUCCUGGCUCAGAACAAACGCUGGCGGCGUGUCUUAAGCAUGCAAGUUGAGCGGCAAGGAGGAGAGAUCCUCCCUAGAGCGGCGGACUGGUGAGUAACGCGUGGGUAAUCUAUCGUAGGCAUGGGGAUAGUCACUAGAAAUAGUGGGUAAUACCGAAUACGUUCCAUGAGGGGAGUACUUAUGGAAGAAAGGGUGCUAUGGCACUGGCCUUAGGUGAGCUCGCGUCCCAUUAGCUAGUUGGUGAGGUAAAGGCCCACCAAGGCGAUGAUGGGUAGCCGGCCUGAGAGGGUGUACGGCCACACUGGGACUGAGAUACGGCCCAGACUCCUACGGGAGGCAGCAGCUAAGAAUAUUCCGCAAUGGACGAAAGUCUGACGGAGCGACGCCGCGUGGAUGAAGAAGGCCGAAAGGUUGUAAAGUUCUUUUGCUAGGGGAGAAUAAGUGAGGGAGGGAAUGCCCUCAUGAUGACAAGGACUAGCGAAUAAGCCCCGGCCAACUACGUGCCAGCAGCCGCGGUAACACGUAGGGGGCGAGCGUUGUUCGGAAUUACUGGGCGUAAAGGGCAUGUAGGCGGCUUGGUAAGCCUGGCGUGAAAGACUGCAGCUUAACUGUAGGGAUGCGUUGGGAACUGCUUAGCUUGAGUUACGGAGAGGGAGCUGGAAUUCCUGGUGUAGGGGUGAAAUCUGUAGAUAUCAGGAAGAACACCGAUGGCGAAGGCAAGCUUCUGGUCGAUAACUGACGCUGAGGUGCGAAAGUGUGGGGAUCAAACAGGAUUAGAUACCCUGGUAGUCCACACUGUAAACGAUGUGCACGAGGUGCUGGGGCGGUAGUUUCAGUGCCGGAGCGAACGCGGUAAGUGCACCGCCUGGGGAGUAUGCUCGCAAGGGUGAAACUCAAAGGAAUUGACGGGGGCCCGCACAAGCGGUGGAGCAUGU
rnacentral:rRNA from 1 species